CCUACGGGUGGCAGCAGUGAGGAAUAUUGGUCAAUGGACGAGAGUCUGAACCAGCCAAGUAGCGUGAAGGAUGACUGCCCUAUGGGUUGUAAACUUCUUUUAUAUGGGAAUAAAAUGCUCCACGUGUGGGAUUUUGUAUGUACCAUAUGAAUACGGAUCGGCUAACUCCGUGCCAGCAGCCGCGGUAAUACGGAGGAUCCGAGCGUUAUCCGUAUUUAUUGGGUUUAAAGGGAGCGUAGGUGGAUUGUUAAGUCAGAUGUGAAAGUCUGCGGCUUAACCGUAAAAUUGCAGUUGAAACUGGCAGUCUUGAGUGCGGGAGAGGUAGGCGGAAUUCGUGGUGUAGCGGUGAAAUGCUUAGAUAUCAAGAAGAACACUGAUUGCGAAGGCAGCCUACUGGACUGCAACUGACACUGAGGCUCGAAAGUGUGGGUAUCAAACAGGAUUAGAUACCCUUGUAGUC
rnacentral:rRNA from 1 species